UACGUAGGUGGCGAGCGUUAUCCGGAAUUAUUGGGCGUAAAGGGUGCGUAGGCGGCUUAAUAAGUUUGUGGUGAAAUCGUGGGGCUCAACUCCAUCAAGCCACAAAAACUGUCAAGCUAGAGAACAGUAGAGGCAAGUGGAAUUCCAUGUGUAGCGGUAAAAUGCGUAGAUAUAUGGAGGAACACCAGUGGCGAAGGCGGCUUGCUGGACUGUGACUGACGCUGAGGCACGAAAGCGUGGGGAGCAAAUAGGAUUAGAUACCCUAGUAGUCCACGCCGUAAACGAUGAAUACUAAGUGUUGGAGAAAUUCAGUGCUGCAGUUAACGCAAUAAGUAUUCCGCCUGGGGAGUACGCACGCAAGUGUGAAACUCAAAGGAAUUGACGGGGACCCGCACAAGCGGUGGAUUAUGUGGUUUAAUUCGAUGCAACGCGAAGAACCUUACCAAGCCUUGACAUCUUCGGCGAAGCUCUAGAGAUAGAGUGGAGGUUAUCCGAAAGACAGGUGGUGCAUGGUU
rnacentral:rRNA from 1 species